CAACCCUUAAGCCUAGCUUAGUGUUGGGAAUCUACUAUCCGGGCGGAGCUACCCUGUAGCGCCUACCCUGUAGUUCCUGAAAAUUAACGGCGGGUCUAUGGUAUCCUCUGAGCGUAGUAACUUUAUCUCGCUUCUGUUAGGUGCUGUAGCCCUUGCCGCUAAACCCCCUAUUUUCUAAU
rnacentral:misc_RNA from 1 species